rnacentral:rRNA from 1 species
UACAACUUUCAGCAAUGGAUCUCUUGGCUCUCGCAUCGAUGAAGAACGCAGCGAAAAGCGAUAUGUAAUGUGAAUUGCAGAUCUACAGUGAAUCAUCGAAUCUUUGAACGCACCUUGCGC